AUCAGUAGUCUUGCUCCGGCUAUCCGGGCCAUCCAGAGGUCUGGGGUCGAAGAUCGGAGCGGCGUUAAAAUGAGAAAAUUGAAGCACAAGGAAGAUUAGUAACUUUCCCAAGAUUCCACAUAAGUAGAACUGUCAUUUGAAUUGGGUCUGAUAUCAGAGCCAGAGCUGGCACUCCUGAUUUCCAGGUGUGGACUUUGGAUCCCUAAGUGGGCCUACCUCAUUAAGAAAGUAAAUGGAGGUGACCUAGAUCUCUGCCCACUAUUCACUAGUUUCCUGGUACAACUGAGCCACAGAUGAGCACAAAAACACAAGCCAAUUUAGCUGAGGCUAAUUUCCACUGUCAUU